GACGAACGCUGGCGGCGUGCUUAACACAUGCAAGUCGAACGGAAAGGCCCUGCUUUUGUGGGGUGCUCGAGUGGCGAACGGGUGAGUAACCCGUGAGUAACCUGCCCUUGACUUUGGGAUAACUUCAGGAAACUGGGGCUAAUACCGGAUAGGAGCUCCUGCUGCAUGGUGGGGGUUGGAACGUUUCGGCGGAUGGGGAUGGACUCGCGGCUUAUCAGCUUGUUGGUGGGGUAGUGGCUUACCAAGGCUUUGACGGGUAGCCGGCCUGAGAGGGUGAACGGCGACAUUGGGACUGAGAUACGGCCCAGACUCCUACGGGAGGCAGCAGGGGGGAAUAUUGCACAAUGGGCGGAAGCCUGAUGCAGCAACGCCGCGUGCGGGAUGACGGCCUUCGGGUUGUAAACCGCUUUCGCCUGUGACGAAGCGGGAGUGACGGUAAUGGGUAAAGAAGCACCGGCUAACUACGUG
rnacentral:rRNA from 1 species